UACGUAGGGCGCAAGCGUUGUCCGGAAUUAUUGGGCGUAAAGAGCUCGUAGGUGGCUUGUCACGUCGGGUGUGAAAGCUUGGGGCUUAACUCCAGGUCUGCAUUCGAUACGGGCUGGCUAGAGGUAGGUAGGGGAGAACGGAAUUCCUGGUGUAGCGGUGAAAUGCGCAGAUAUCAGGAGGAACACCGGUGGCGAAGGCGGUCUGCUGGGCCGUUGCUGACGCUGAGGCGCGACAGCGUGGGGAGCAAACAGG
rnacentral:rRNA from 1 species